rnacentral:rRNA from 1 species
UACAUGUGGGGCAAGCGUUGUUCGGAAUUACUGGGCAUAAAGGGCGCGUAGGCGGCCUGACAAGUGGAAGGUGAAAUCCCUCGGCUUAACCGAGGAACUGCCCUCCAAACUGUUUGGCUUGAGACCGGGAGAGGUGAGUGGAAUUCCCAGUGUAGCGGUGAAAUGCGUAGAUAUCUGGAGGAACACCGGUGGCGAAGGCGGCAUCCUGGACCGGUAUUGACGCUGAGGAGCGAAAGCCAGGGGAGCAAAGCGGG